rnacentral:rRNA from 1 species
CCGCCGGCGACCGGCGCACGGGUGAGUAACACGUAUGCAACCUGGCCGUGACAGAUGGAUAACCGGGAGAAAUCCCGCCUAAUACAACAUAAUGCCGGGAGGGGACAUCCCCUGCCGGUCAAAGGGGGCGACCCCGGUCACGGAUGGGCAUGCGGCGCAUUAGGUAGUUGGUGGGGCAACGGCCCACCAAGCCGACGAUGCGUAGGGGUUCUGAGAGGAAGGUCCCCCACAUUGGAACUGAGACACGGUCCAAACUCCUACGGGAGGCAGCA